AUUGAACGCUGGCGGCAUGCUUUACACAUGCAAGUCGAACGAGGGGGGGACGGGUGAGAAAUGUCUGGGAAAAUGCCCGCUGGAGGGGGGGAACUACUCGAAAAGGUAGCUAUAACCGCAUACAACCAGGUGUGCCCAAAUGGGAGUAGCUCGUAGGUGGGGUAUCGGCUCACCUAGGCGACGAUCCCUAGCUGGUCUGAGAGGAUGACCAGCCACACUGGAACUGAGACACGGUCCAGACUCCUACGGGAGGCAGCAGUGGGGAAUAGUGCACAAUGGGCGCAAGCUUGAUGCAGCCAUGCCGCGUGUAUGAAGAAGGCCUUCGGGUUGUAAAGUACUUUCAGCGGGGAGGCGUUACCCGCAGAAGAAGCACCGGCUAACUCCGUGCCAGCAGCCGCGGUAAUUC
rnacentral:rRNA from 1 species